rnacentral:rRNA from 1 species
AGUGAACGCUGGCGGCAGGCCUAACACAUGCAAGUCGAACGGCAGCACAGUGGAGCUUGCUCCAUGGGUGGCGAGUGGCGGACGGGUGAGGAAUACAUCGGAAUCUGCCCAGUCGUGGGGGAUAACAUAGGGAAACUUAUGCUAAUACCGCAUACGACCUACGGGUGAAAGCGGGGGAUCGCAAGACCUCGCGCGAUUGGAUGAGCCGAUGUCCGAUUAGCUAGUUGGCGGGGUAAUGGCCCACCAAGGCGACGAUCGGUAGCUGGUCUGAGAGGAUGAUCAGCCACACUGGAACUGAGACACGGUCCAGACUCCUACGGGAGGCAGCAGUGGGGAAUAUUGGACAAUGGGCGCAAGCCUGAUCCAGCCAUGCCGCGUGGGUGAAGAAGGCCUUCGGGUUGUAAAGCCCUUUUGUCCGGAAAGAAAAGCCUCGGAUUAAUACCCUGGGGUGAUGACGGUACCGGAAGAAUAAGCACCGGCUAACUUCGUGCCAGCCGCCGCAGUAAGAC